rnacentral:rRNA from 1 species
UGGUGGAGUGAUUUGUCUGCUUAAUUGCGAUAACGAACGAGACCUUAACCUGCUAACUAGCGACGUGAACCGCAUGGUUGACGGCCCGCUUCUUAGAGGGACUGUCGGCGACUAGUCGACGGAAGUUUGAGGCAAUAACA